UGGGGAAUAUUGCACAAUGGGCGAAAGCCUGAUGCAGCAACGCCGCGUGAACGAUGAAGGUCUUCGGAUCGUAAAGUUCUGUUGCAGGGGAAGAUAAUGACGGUACCCUGUGAGGAAGCCCCGGCUAACUACGUGCCAGCAGCCGCGGUAAUACGUAGGGGGCUAGCGUUAUCCGGAUUUACUGGGCGUAAAGGGUGCGUAGGUGGUCCUUCAAGUCGGUGGUUAAAGGCUACGGCUCAACCGUAGUAAGCCGCCGAAACUGGAGGACUUGAGUGCAGGAGAGGAAAGUGGAAUUCCCAGUGUAGCGGUGAAAUGCGUAGAUAUUGGGAGGAACACCAGUAGCGAAGGCGGCUUUCUGGACUGCAACUGACACUGAGGCACGAAAGCGUGGGUAGCAAACAGGAUUAGAUACCCUGGUAGUCUCACGCUGUAAACGAUGAGUACUAGGUGUCGGGGGUUACCCCCCUCGGUGCCGCAGCUAACGCAUUAAGUACUCCGCCUGGGGAGUACAGCACGCAAGUGUG
rnacentral:rRNA from 1 species